rnacentral:rRNA from 1 species
UACGAAGGGGAGCUAGCGUUGUUCGGAUUUACUGGGCGUAAAGCGCACGUAGGCGGAUCUUUAAGUCAGAGGUGAAAUCCCAAGGCUCAACCUUGGAACUGCCUUUGAUACUGGGGAUCUUGAGUCCGGGAGAGGUGAGUGGAACUGCGAGUGUAGAGGUGAAAUUCGUAGAUAUUCGCAAGAACACCAGUGGCGAAGGCGGCUCACUGGCCCGGUAACUGACGCUGAGGUGCGAAAGGCGUGGGGAGCAAACAGG